GUCCCCUUGUCUCGUUAAUCAGAUUCAGCUGUGUUCCCUGGUGUUUCCCAUCUGCCUGGUCCAGCCUGACUGAUUGACCAGGAGAUUACAGCCUUCAUCCUCUAAGCACGGAGUCAUCUCACACCACUGUCGACUCGUGAUGAUACGAACUGAGGAGGACGACAAGAGGAAGAAGAGUCAGCAGCAGCCGUCUGAGGACAGUGAGGAUCUUACCAUCCACACAGGCUGGUCUGGCUCUCGUCGUACCAGCG